rnacentral:rRNA from 1 species
UACGUAGGGUGCAAGCGUUUAAUCGGAAUUACUGGGCGUAAAGCGUGCGUAGGCGGUUCGCUGUGUCCGAUGUGAAAGCCCCGGGCUUAACCUGGGAAUGGCAUUGGAAACUGGCGGGCUUGAGUGUGGCAGAGGGGGGUGGAAUUCCGCGUGUAGCAGUGAAAUGCGUAGAGAUGCGGAGGAACACCGAUGGCGAAGGCAGCCCCCCUGGGUUAACACUGACGCUCAGGCACGAAAGCGUGGGGAGCAAACAGG